rnacentral:rRNA from 1 species
ACUCUAGCGGAACUGCCAGCGUAAGCUGCGAGGAAGGUGGGGAUGACGUCAAAUCAGCACGGCCCUUACGUCCAGGGCUACACACGUGUUACAAUGGCCAGUACAGAGGGCAGCCACCCCGCGAGGGGGCGCUAAUCCUAAAAGCUGGUCCCAGUUCGGAUCGGAGUCUGCAACCCGACUCCGUGAAGCUGGAUUCGCUAGUAAUCGCGCAUCAGCCGCGGCGCGGUGAAUACGUUCCCGGGCCUU